rnacentral:rRNA from 1 species
UACGAAGGGGGCGAGCGUUGUUCGGAAUUACUGGGCGUAAAGGGCGCGCAGGCGGCUCUGAAAGUCAGAUGUGAAAGCCCCGGGCUUAACCUGGGAACUGCAUUUGAUACUCUGGAGCUUGAGUACGGGAGAGGAUAGUGGAAUUCCCAGUGUAGAGGUGAAAUUCGUAGAUAUCAGGAAGAACACCCGUGGCGAAGGCGGCUCUCUGGGACGGUACUGACGCUGAGACGCGAAAGCGUGGGGAGCGAACAGG